CAGCUCUGUUUGAAAAUGAGAGAACGUAGUUCCACCUAAAAAAUGGGUGCAGAUGGCGCAUCGAACCAGCGUGAAAAUCGGUGUCGGCCGAAACGUAUGACGUGGCCGCUCUCAGGCUUCUCUCUGACUAAAAUAAAUAGGUUUCUAUACAAAUUAUCAUCUCCUGAAGGACAAAUAACAAGGCUGACAUUUAAAAAAUUAAAAAGAAAACUCUAGAGCCUAAUUAAUAAUCAAGGACUAACAAGAGCCUGUAUAGUGUAAUUGCUACGAUAAACCGUAAUCCUUUGUAAUAAGAUGAAAUAAGAAGUAGAUAAUAUUAAUCACCUGUUCAAGAAAAUAAAAAUACCUCUUCUUGUCCACUCACCGCUUCUUUAAUUUGUCCGCGAUACGUUGAGGUCCAAAAUAAUCACACGAGUUAGAUUUUCACUCGCACGAUGAA